UACAGAGGUCUCAAGCGUUGUUCGGAUUCAUUGGGCGUAAAGGGUGCGUAGGCGGCGCGGUAAGUCGGGUGUGAAAUCUCGGGGCUUAACUCCGAAACUGCAUUCGAUACUGCCGUGCUUGAGGACUGGAGAGGAGACUGGAAUUUACGGUGUAGCGGUGAAAUGCGUAGAUAUCGAGAGGAACACCAGUGGCGAAGGCGAGUCCCUGGACAACUCCUGACACUGAGGCACGAAAGCUAGGGGAGCAAACAGG
rnacentral:rRNA from 1 species